ensembl:lncRNA
UAUGCUGACCUAUAACGCUCCAGUACAGCUGGUGACAAACAUACCGUUUAAUUCACAAGCACAGGUCGCAGCCUCUAUUCAGGCUGCACUGGCACACAAUCUGUCAACACAACCCUGCCCCUUCACACGGGCCACUGUGCCCACACCUACGGCUGCAUACAUGCCCUUCUGCAGCUUCCUCCCCUCCAAAAGCAGACAACGCACUCCUCUCCCCACCCCUUCAACUGUGCUCACACAGACACCUCGACCUAAACUGAUACCAAUGACCCCCUUGCGCUCUUCCCCUCCUCCUCCCUGCUCAGCCCCACCUUUACCAGGAACAAACCCGCUGUCGCUCUCUGCAACUCCCCGUCCCAAACCAAUCUCUGCAUCCUCUUCCCGCUCUUCGUCUCCCUCUCCCUCCUCCACACCGCCUCCACCUUCGGUUUCUACCCCUAUUUUAACUUGUGGGCCCAAGACAUCUUUUAGCUCCUCUUCUCCCCCUUCCUCCUUGAUCACUUCUAUCCCACCACGUCCCCAGAGCCCCCGAGCCAGGGCAUCCAACACACCUCCUCCUGCUUCUCCAUUGUCUGGCCCCAGUCCCGCCCCAAUCUCUUCUCCAAUACAGACUCCCACUCAGACGACCCGUGCUCGCCCUUCUACCCCCGCCCAAACUCCUACACAAACUCGGUCACCUGUUACUCCGACCCAGGCACUAACCCAUACACCUUCUCCCUCUCCCAUCCCCGUUUCAGGUCCUCCCUCCCUAACUAAAUCCCAGAGUCCAACCCCCCUCCAGCCCUCAGUUCCUUGUUCAACCAAAAGCUCGAGUCAGAACCCAAAACUGAAUCCAACCCAAACUGCAUCUCCUUCCCCUACACCAGCCAACACUAGUUCUACCAAUAAAAUAACGUUCACAGUUCAUCCCGUAAAGCAAGCCCCUCCUGUCCUUACUCAAGCCCCCACAUCUGGCUCUGUUUUCUCCACUAAACCCACCCCAACUACACCCUCCCCCUCAACAUCUUUAUGCCCGAACCCAAGCUCCGCUAGCCCCUCGUCUCUUCCUACAGCCUCCUCCUCGUCCACCAUCUCCCCCAGUUUACAAUCUGCUUCUGCUCGCCCCAAGAAACAAACGCCGACAAGCACGGCUCCCGUUGCCGUCCCCCCCAAAACUAAUACACCCUCUACCACUGCCCAGACCUCUCAGGCACCUGCUACUACACCCACCCUGUCCGCACAUGCAGCCACCCCUGCCAACACCAGCUGCCCUAAAGAUGGGGAAAAAAGACCCUCAGCUGUCACUGACUAGAAAAGACUCAGAGAGACAAAGACACAAACUGCCCUUCGGCAUGUGAGACAUUCUCAUAGGAUGUUGUGGCCGCUGCUGACUAGCGGACACCUGGAUUUACAGAGUUGUGUCAGAGUCAUAUUAGAUAUCUAAUGAUAUUGUGUGGACAGGUACAUCUUGUUUGCAUUCACUCUAGGAUGUGAUUGUCUUAGAGCAUCAGGUGUUGAUGUGACUCUCAACCAAGCCGUCGCUCAAGGAGACUCUCUCUGUAGGUAUGUUGAGUGGUUGGCGCAAGCAAUGGAGUCUGAGAAAACAUCCAAAUGUAUACAUACAUAUCUUUGUUAGUGAUUGUUGGAGCAAGCAGGGGAGCUGAAGUGGAAACAGUAUGCACAGUAAAUGGGGUGCAAGCAAUAGCUUAGAAUUUUCUAUACAUGCAAUACAUGUAAAACAUUUGAGACACUCAUAAUGUGACAGGAAAUGAUAUUGACGAUAUUAUAAUAAUUUUGAGAAAAGACCAUUUGGACGUUGGAUGAUAUCAGUUUCAAAUGCGGGCAAUAAAGCAGACACUUGGAUGUCCAGCUCCAACUCCCUCUUGCCUCCCAUUCUGCACCAAAGUGUAAUAUUUUCUCAUCAGAUUAUUAAUAAGAAGAAGAAUAUCAAAUCACUGUAAAGUCAAUGCUCAUAUAAAUUUGAAUAAUUAAGAGCAGUUCACUGGUAGUUUUGUGGUCUGAGGUGUGUGGUGUUUAGUUUUUUUAACAAGACAAAACUUUUAAACCUACCUGUUUUUUCGUGUGUGGAAGUCAAUUACUGCUUCGCUGUGCACCGAGGCUCAUCCGGCACCCUGAACUGUAAAUACGCACCUCUCUGUCGCUCUGCUGUAAGCUUCCUCACUCCUCAGCCUCUGCGUCUUUCGUCUGAUUUCACAGCCCUUGUAGCUAACAGACUUGCUCACUGCCUCUCGGUUUGCCCGGCGUCUCGCUCUUUUGCGGCCGUCAGCCUAAUGUUCGUUUUGCUCUUUGUGCUGUCGCCCUGCGACACUGUUAUAGCAUAAUUUCCAGCGAUGUUUGAUGUUUUGUGUGGGUAGCAACCAGACAUUUCUGUCUUAAACCCUAAUACCAUGUUGCCUAGGCUAUGAAUUAAAGGACCAAAUGUUUUAUUUUUUAUUUACCACAGCUUCAGCUUUCGAACCGAAAACAAAUAAAGGCCAAUAAUGGUGUCACAAUGAUGAUCUUGAGGGUGGUGUGUAAGAUGAUGAUGAUACUCUUGACAACCCUGAUGUAAUGAUGAAGGUGUAUAUCUGGAUGUUUAUUUCUUUAUAUCUUUAUAUCUUUAUUUCUCUUUUUUCUUUUCAUUCCAGAUGCCUUAAUUAUCAUCGAAAAAUCUUAAUGAUAUGAAACUGCCAUCGAUAACUAACCGCUUUACAACUACUAAAAAUGUUCUUAAUGUACGACUACUUGGUUGACUCAGGGGGACAUAUUUUUCUCACUCAUCUACAGUGGUAUCCAUGAAUUCCACAAUCAACAGUCCUCAUCAACGUUACGUCCCCUGACUUAAUGAGCAUAUUAAAAAGCUUUGCUGUGAAAAUCAGCAAGAAAUCACUUCUGAUAAGGAAGGUUAUCUGGAACCUGCAAUACAGGAAUCAGC